rnacentral:rRNA from 1 species
AUGAGACUCAUGUCCAGGAAGCGCCACCGGCAGCGCCGUCGCCGGAGAACUCGACACGAUGGAUUGAUUGCUUCAUUCUGUAAAAAGAAGUGCUCACUGCGCCAGCAAGAUGAUUAUUCGCAAAGUGCUGCUGGACUAAGACCGGGUCUCGACCUUCCAGAGGACAUAUAUCGACAUAUACAUGCCCUAAUGCCAUUACGAGACGCUGCUCGUGCGGCUUGUGUGUCGCACACAUUUCUGCAAUCAUGGAGACGCUAUCGCAACCUUACCUUAAGUAAGGAAACACUAGGUUUGAAUGUAAAUGGUAUUGAUAAAGAUGAAAUGGCAAGAGAUCUCAUCAGCAAAGUUGACGGUGAUCUCAUCAGCAAAGUUGACGGUAUUCUUAAGAAUCACUCGGGUGUUGGCAUGAAGAAACUAGAGCUUAAUCUCUACUGUUGCCGCAAGGUUGAUCACUGUUAUCUCAAUAGUUGGCUUCGCAUUGCUUUCAGAGCAGGGAUUGAAGAGCUCACCAUGUUGCUGUCUCUUACCAGUGAGGCAAAAUACAACUUCCCAUGCUCUCUUUUAUUCAGUGGGAGUGAAAAAUCAAUUCGGCAUCUUAAGCUCUCCAGCUGUGUCUUUCGUCCCAUAGCUGAGCUUGAUUGCUGGAGAAGGUUGAAAGAGUUGCUGCUGACUAAUGUGCUGAUUACGAGCGAUGAGCUAGAGUGCCUUCUUUCCACUUCUUCCAUGUUGGAGUUACUGUGGCUCUUUAGAUGCAAAGAGAUAGUUCGUGUGAAGAUACCUUGUCAGCUCCAGCGGCUCAGCUUCCUGCGAGUGGGUGAAUGCAGAAAGCUCCAGGAGAUAGAGAGCAACGCUCCAAAUAUCUCGACUUUUGACAUCAGUGGCAGUAACUUGGUAAGGAUUUCAUUUGGAGGCGCAUUGCAAGUAAAGAACAUGAGGAUAUGUUCAUAUCAGCCCAACUUUAUCUGGUACACUCGGACCAAGCUUAUGCCAUCUGUACCGAAUGUUGAAACGCCUUCGCGUAUCCUCGUAUAA